rnacentral:rRNA from 1 species
GACGAACGCUGGCGGCGUGCUUUAUACAUGCAAGUCGAACGAUGAAGUUCCUUCGGGAAUGGAUUAGUGGCGAACGGGUGAGGAACACGUGAGAAACCUGCCUUUCAUUCUGGGAUAACACCGGGAAACCGGUGCUAAUACCGGAUACUCCGUCUUGGCGGCAUCGCCGAGCCGGGAAAAAAUUUUGAUGAAAGAUGGUCUCGCGGCCUAUCAGCUAGUUGGUGAGGGAAAGGCUCACCAAGGCGACGACGGGUAGCCGGCCUGAGAGGGCGACCGGCCACACUGGGACUGAGGCACGGCCCAGACUCCUACGGGAGGCAGCAGUAGGGAAUAUUGGGUAAUGGGCGCAAGCCUGACCCAGCGACGCCGCGUGAGGGAUGAAGGUCUUCGGAUUGUAAACCUCUUUCAGUAGGGAAGAAGCGAAAGUGACGGUACCUAAAGAAGAAGCACCGGCUAACUAUGUGCCAGCCGCCGCGGUAC